ensembl:snoRNA
UUUACCCUUAGGGGAGAAAAAUAGAGAAAUAGAUUCAAACAGGAGUUUAAAGAGAUGUCUUUCUAUGGUCUGUUGGCCAUUUCAGAACGUGGGCAGUGAAAUGAUCAAUUCAUUAGAAAGAAACAGCU